rnacentral:misc_RNA from 1 species
AAGGAAAACCAUGUUAUUUCAAGGACAAUGACUUACUCUUUUGAAAAAGGAAAAUGUUUCCCAAUUUUGACAAGAUUAAAAGAAACAUUUAAUGGAAGUAUAUUAUUGUGUGACCACUAGUCUAUUGACUAUCCCUAGUUAUUCUUGGGUAUCCCCAGUCACCAGUGACAAUCACAAUUUAUUAUUUUUCAUCUUUUUUUUCCCUCAAAUUCAACAAUAAAUGGAAAAUUAUGAAGUUCUUAUAGGGUUAAUUGUUU